GUCAUAAUUUUUAUGGCUUUUGCCAUGACGUUAAAAUCUCCAGUUUCGAGCCAGGCCUGGCCCUGUGCUUAUAAAACAUUUAGAGUCUAGACUCAAAUAGAAUCUGAGAAAUUUAAUGUCAUGAUAACGCCAAAAAUUGCAUGCAUGUAACUCAUUGCAAGUUGAGUCUGGACUAUAAACGUUUCAUAUGAGCACGGGGCCAGAUCCAACAAAAAAUAACAGACUUUCGUCGUCUACGUCAUCAGUGUUCGAGUCUAUCACAGAAGACCUCUUUUCCUUCGGAAUACACGGGGAGAAAAUAAAUUGCUUGCUCAUCUGCCAAACAUAGGGAGGUUCCAGUUUUUGCGACAUGCAGAAUGCGUACCUUUAGCUGGAAGUUGUUACGGACACUGUGCGAUGGAAAUGAUGUCUGUAUAUUUAAUGGUUUGGAAACUGGACUCCAUUUCCGGCUUGCCGUUCACAAUCGACAGAUUCGAGGUACCUGGGUACUGCUCCUGCAAGGGAUGACACUAAUGAAGAAUGCUGCAAUAUAUUAUGUUUGAGAACCCAAACUUUGUGUAUAACUGAUAGCCUAGGUAUUACACACCAAAUUAUAAUGUUGUAAUUUUUUGGAACAUCUAGAGAACCCACUGAAGCCAGUUUUCAUAAUACUUGCUUUUAUGUUAUCCGUAUAAUUCUCAAAUAAAGAUAUUUAAGAGUA